GCCGUCGUGGUAUAAUGGUCAGCACGCUCGACUCGUAUUCGAGAGUCCGUGGUUCGAGUCCCGGCGCAGGCG
rnacentral:tRNA from 1 species